rnacentral:rRNA from 1 species
GUAACCUGCCCUUGACUCGGGGAUCAGCCUGGGAAACUGGGUCUAAUACCGGAUACGACCAUCUGGCGCAUGUCAUGGUGGUGGAAAGCUUUUGUGGUUUUGGAUGGACUCGCGGCCUAUCAGCUUGUUGGUGGGGUAGUGGCCUACCAGGGCGACGACGGGUAGGCGGCCUGAGAGGGUGACCGGCCACACUGGGACUGAGACACGGCCCACACUCCUACGGGAGGCAGCAGUGGGGAAUAUUGCACAGUGGGCGCAAGCCUGAUGCAGCGACGCCGCGUGAGGGAUGACGGCCUUCGGGUUGUAAACCUCUUUCAGUAGGGAAGAGGCGAAAGUGACGGUACCUGCAGAAUAAGCGCCGGCUAACUACGUGCCAGCAGCCGCGGUAAUACGUAGGGCGCAAGCGUUAUCCGGAAUUAUUGGGCGUAAAGAGCUCGUAGGCGGUUUGUCGCGUCUGCUGUGAAAGACCGGGGCUCAACUCCGGUUCUGCAGUGGGUACGGGCAGACUAGAGUGCAGUAGGGGGAGACUGGAAUUCCUGGAUGUAGCGGUGAAAUGCGCAGAUAUCAGGAGGAACACCGAUGGCGAAAGCAGGUCUCUGG